GAUGAACGCUAGCGAUAGGCCUAACACAUGCAAGUCGAGGGGCAUCACAUGAAGUAGCAAUACGGAUGGUGGCGACCGGCGCACGGGUGAGUAACACGUAUGCAACCUGCCUUCAACAAGGGGAUAACCCGUUGAAAGACGGACUAAUACCCUAUAACACAGGGGUCCCGCAUGGGAAUAUUUGUUAAAGGACAACCGGUUGAAGAUGGGCAUGCGUUCCAUUAGCUAGUUGGCGGGGUAACGGCCCACCAAGGCAACGAUGGAUAGGAGAACUGAGAGGUUUAUCCCCCACACUGGUACUGAGACACGGACCAGACUCCUACGGGAGGCAGCAGUGAGGAAUAUUGGUCAAUGGACGCAAGUCUGAACCAGCCACGUCGCGUGAAGGAAGACGGCCCUACGGGUUGUAAACUUCUUUUAUACGGGAAUAAAGUGCCCCACGCGUGGGGUUUUGCAUGUACCGUAUGAAUAAGGAUCGGCUAACUACGUGCCAGCAG
rnacentral:rRNA from 1 species